AGCGGCGGACGGGUGAGUAACGCGUGGGUAACCUGCCCUGUACACACGGAUAACAUACCGAAAGGUAUGCUAAUACGAGAUAAUAUACUUUUAUCGCAUGGUGGGAGUAUCAAAGCUUUUGCGGUACAGGAUGGACCCGCGUCUGAUUAGCUAGUUGGUAAGGUAACGGCUUACCAAGGUGACGAUCAGUAGCCGACCUGAGAGGGUGAUCGGCCACAUUGGAACUGAGACACGGUCCAAACUCCUACGGGAGGCAGCAGUGGGGAAUAUUGCACAAUGGGCGAAAGCCUGAUGCAGCAACGCCGCGUGAGCGAUGAAGGCCUUCGGGUCGUAAAGCUCUGUCCUCAAGGAAGAUAAUGACGGUACUUGAGGAGGAAGCCCCGGCUAACUACGUGCCAGCAGCCGCGGUAAUACGUAGGGGGCUAGCGUUAUCCGGAAUUACUGGGCGUAAAGGGUGCGUAGGUGGUUUCUUAAGUCAGAGGUGAAAGGCUACGGCUCAACCGUAGUAAGCCUUUGAAACUGGGAAACUUGAGUGCAGGAGAGGAGAGUGGAAUUCCUAGUGUAGCGGUGAGAUGCGUAGAUAUUAGGAGGAACACCAGUUGCGAAGGCGGCUCUCUGGACUGUAACCGACACUGAGGCACGAAAGCGUGGGGAGCAAACAGGAUUAGAUACCCUGGUAGUCCACGCCGUAAACGAUGAGUACUAGCUGU
rnacentral:rRNA from 1 species